rnacentral:rRNA from 1 species
CCUACGGGAGGCAGCAGUGAGGAAUAUUGGUCAAUGGGCGCGAGCCUGAACCAGCCAAGUAGCGUGAAGGAUGACUGCCCUACGGGUUGUAAACUUCUUUUAUAAAGGAAUAAAGUGAGGCACGUGUGCCUUUUUGUAUGUACUUUAUGAAUAAGGAUCGGCUAACUCCGUGCCAGCAGCCGCGGUAAUACGGAGGAUCCGAGCGUUAUCCGGAUUUAUUGGGUUUAAAGGGAGCGUAGAUGGGGUGUUAAGUCAGGUGUGAAAGUUUGCGGCUCAACCGUAAAAGUGCAAUUGAUACUGGCAGCCUUGAGUACAGUUGAGGUAGGCGGAAUGCGUGGUGUAGCGGUGAAAUGCUUAGAUAUCACGCAGAACUCCGAUUGCGAAGGCAGCUUACUAAACUGCCACUGACAUUGAUGCUCGAAGGUGUGGGUAUCAAACAGGAUUAGAUACCCUUGUAGUC